rnacentral:rRNA from 1 species
GGAUGGUAGGUAUAGUCUCAUGGCCCUUGCUUAUGUUUUUCCUAUGCCAAGCAAUUGUGGUAUGGCCUCGUACAUCAUUUCCUCUGCUCACUCAUUGAGUAAUCAAUGCGUUAUAAACUGGUGUGUGUGGAUGCUACCAUUUGUAUGCAAUGGGCAUAUGAAUGGUGCUAUGGUUGCACAUGUUGGUAGGCUCUAUGCUUGAUGCAUCGAAUUGUCAACCCAUCAUCCCUUUCAAUCUCCCCCCAUGUGGUCAUCAUUCUUUAGGGGCAUAAUCAAGAUCCUAUGCUACAUAUCUAAAUCAAUGGAAACCAUAUGUCUUACCAUCCCUCAUCCAUCUUAUGUCCUUAAGUGCUACGGGUCUAACCUUAAACAUGCCACAUGUCCCAAGUUUACCACCCAAACCUCCAUGGCCACAUUAGUGCAUUGGUGUUCGAUCGUAUUCCCAUAUGUGAAAUGUUUUAUAGGUGUGAGUUCUCAAGCCUUGUCAGUUCGAUGCCAUGCAUUUCACAUGUGAAAUAUUUAAGUUGUUGUAGUUAAAAAGCUUGUAGUUGGAACUAAGUUUUGGCCAUCUAGUCUACCUCACAGUGAGUACCGAUCUACUUAUCCCUACUACUGAUGAUGCACUCUUGCCUUAACUGGUUGGGUUAUUCCUCUAACACUGUUAUUUUGAAGAAAUUUGAGUGCUUAAAGCAGGCUUAUGCUUGUAUACAUUAACAUGCGAUAACAUCAUAGGAUUUCAGUCCGAUUGUGUUGGCCUUCAGAAUCGAAGUAAUGAUUAGUAAAAAUAGUUGGAGGCAUUCGUAAUUCAUAGUUAGAAGUGAAAUUCUUGGAUUUAUGAAAGAUGAAUAAUUGUAAAAGCAUUUGCUCAGGAUGUUUUCAUUAAUCAAGAAUGAAAGUUGAAGGCUCGAAGAUGAUCAGAUACUAUUCUAGUCUCAACCAUAAACGAUGCCGACCAAGGAUGGAUGGAUGUUACUUUUAGGACUCUGUCAACACGUUAUGUGAAAUCAAAGUCUUUAGGUUCCAAAGGGAGUAUUGUCUCAAGUCAAAAACUUAAAGGAAUUGAUGAAAGGGCACCCCCAAGAGUGGACCUAUAGCUUAAUUUAACUCAAGAUGGGGAAACUUACCAAGUUUAAACAUAAUAAGAUUGAUAGACUGAGAGCUCUUUCUUAAUUCUAUAAGUGGUGGUGCAUGGCCAUUUUUAGUUAGUGGAGCUAUUUGUUUGGUUAAUUUUGUUAAUGAAUGAGACCUCAGCCUACUAACCAGCAACGUGGAGGUGAUCAUUCGUGGCUAGCUUCUUAGAGGAUUAUGGCCACUUAGGCCAAGGAAGUUUAAGGCAAUAAUAGGUCUAGGAUACCCUUAGAUGUUUUAGGCUGUACGUACGUUACACUAAUGUAUUCAACGAGUUCAUAGCCUUGGCCGACAGGCCCAAGCAAUCUUUGAAAUUUCAUUAUGAUGGGGAUAGAUCAUUGCAAUUGUUGGUUUUCAAAGAGAAAUUCCUAGAAAGCAUAAGUUGUCAGCUCAUGUUGACUAUGUCCCUAUCUUUUGUACACACUGCCCAUCGCUCCUACUGAUUGAAUGGUUUGGUGAAGUGUUUAGAUUGUGACAACAUGGAUGGUUUGCUACCCAUGACAUAAUGAGAAGUCCACUGAACCUUAUCAUUUAAAGGAAGAAGAAGUCAUAACAAGGUUUUUGUAGGUGAACCUAUAGAAU